AAUGAACGCUGGCGGCGCGCCUAAUACAUGCAAGUCGAGCGAGAAGACGUAGCAAUACGUUUGUAAAGCGGCGAACGGGUGAGGAAUACAUGGGUAACCUACCCUAGAGUGGGGAAUAACUAGCCGAAAGGUUAGCUAAUACCGUGUACGCUCCUUGGACUUCGGUUCAGGGAGGAAAGCGAUGCCGAGGGUAUCGCGCUCUUGGAUGGGCUCAUGUCCUAUCAGCUUGNGGUGAGGUAACGGCUCACCAAGGCUUCGACGGGUAGCUGGUCUGAGAGGACGAUCAGCCACACUGGCACUGCGACACGGGCCAGACUCCUACGGGAGGCAGCAGUAAGGAAUAUUGCGCAAUGGGCGAAAGCCUGACGCAGCGACGCCGC
rnacentral:rRNA from 1 species